rnacentral:lncRNA from 7 species
GGCGGGGGUGCGUGUCGGCGAUGGAUGCUGUUUCCGGGAAGUAGGUAGCGCGAUGUGUUCUACACACAUCACAUUAUUGCUGCUUACGUGCGUGAUAGCUACUGUGCUCAAAUAAUGGUGUAUAUAGUCAUCAGUAUUCUGGACCUCUAUUUUUUUUAUAAAAAAAACCAUGACGUACGUACGUGGAAAACCAAUCUUACAGGCACCAAUGAGAAACCUAUGUGGGAUCUGCAUAUAUGCACAAAUGACAAGGACGAUCUCUGAUGAAAGUGAAGCUCAGCAAUUAAAAUGUAAAUUUCUUGUCAGUAAACGUUUGUCUUUUGUUG